rnacentral:rRNA from 1 species
CGGACCGGUGAGUAAUGCCUAGGAAAUUGCCCUGAUGUGGGGGAUAACCAUUGGAAACGAUGGCUAAUACCGCAUGAUGCCUACGGGCCAAAGAGGGGGACCUUCGGGCCUCUCGCGUCAGGAUAUGCCUAGGUGGGAUUAGCUAGUUGGUGAGGUAAGGGCUCACCAAGGCGACGAUCCCUAGCUGGUCUGAGAGGAUGAUCAGCCACACUGGAACUGAGACACGGUCCAGACUCCUACGGGAGGCAGCAGUGGGGAAUAUUGCACAAUGGGCGCAAGCCUGAUGCAGCCAUGCCGCGUGUGUGAAGAAGGCCUUCGGGUUGUAAAGCACUUUCAGUCGUGAGGAAGGUGGGGGAGUUAAUAGCUGCAUUAUUUGACGUUAGCGACAGAAGAAUCACCGGCUAACUCCGUGCCAACAGCCGCGGUAAUACGGAGGGUGCGAGCGUUAAUCGGAAUUACUGGGCGUAAAGCGCAUGCAGGUGGUUUGUUAAGUCAGAUGUGAAAGCCCGGGGCUCAACCUCAAUUGCAUUUGUAUCUGGCAGACUAGAGUACUGUAGAGGGGGGUAGAAU